rnacentral:lncRNA from 1 species
UAAGAGAUUCCAUCACCAAUAUAAAGAGAAGUGGUGAAAAAUGGGAUCCCCGUGCCUCAAGCCCUUCGAAGCGGUAAAGAAAGUAGAGGGACCCCCAUUAAUCAAAACAACAAAAGAAGUAGUAGUCACACAUGACUUCAUCCACUUCCUCCAUUUUGGCCCAAAAUCCAUUCUUUCCAAACAUGUAAUCAAUGAAAUUUCAAUUUACAUUAUCAUAUGCUUUUCCAUAUCUAAUUUGCACACCAAACCCUCCCAUUUAUUGAAUAACAAAGUGAUCAACAGUUUCAUUUGU